rnacentral:tRNA from 1 species
GAAAAGGUAGUUUAGGGGGUAGAAUGUUGUUUUUGUAAAACAGAGGUGUUGUUGAGAUUCUUUUCA